ensembl:lncRNA
ACAAACUAGUACAAAGAUACCGGGUGAAGUAUUUUGGUUUUUGAUUGAAUCACAGGUCUCCGGACCGUGCUCUCUCGGGCUCCGUGCUUAUGUGUUUAAAAAUCUCUUAAACCAUAUUAAAAUUGUUUAGUUAAACUUGUGCUUUUGUAACGUUCAGUAUGGCCGGAAAUACAGGCUGCAUGCCUUGGGGCAAAACUUUAUUUCGAUUUAUAUGCAUUUGUAGAUUUAGAAUAAAACUCAUACUCAGAAAAAAACUCUCGCGAUCCCCGCAGCCCCCUUAACCUAAUCCUUAGAAACAUAAGCAGGGAAAACUCCUUAAAAACUCCUCCGCGAUUUCCCCAAAAACCCUAGAAUAACUUGUUAGCUACCCUCUAUUCCCAAAAGCCUUAUAAUCCAAAACAGGGGGAAAACUCCUUAGUCUUUUUUCUUCAAAAACUUCCCUCUUACUAGCAACCUCUAAAAUUCAACGCACAGUCUAAGUUCUACCUCGCUCUUAAUCGCCGACCCUUCCAGAGCAGAGCACAAUUUUUUCCUCCUUGUUCGUUCCCCGCUCUGCUCCUAAAUGCGCUGCUUACAUCGUUUGAAAAUUUUCCGCCAGAGACCAACUCCCCCUCACUUCGCCCCCUGCCAAUCACAUAACAAAUCGCACAGCUCCCUUCGCACCCCGGUUAGCCAAUCGGCUCCAGGUCUGAUUUUACGAUCUCCCGCUGAGGUUAAGACUGCCGUCGAGCUCCCAGAAGACCUCUGACUUGAGACGUAUCAACAACUGGCGCCGCUCAGACUGCUUGCGGGCUCGCAACAGCCACGAAAACAGGGAUCGACAACAACUGCCUUCGCAUGCCCUAUGUGCAAAUCAGUCGGUAAGUGUUAAUCUUCCCCCGUCUAACUACAUUUUCGCAUUUUCCUUUUUACCAUUCUCUCAAAAGCUUUUUCAUCUUCAAAAACCAUGCAAAAUAGCUUCUGUAACACUUGGAAUACACUUUUUAAAAAUAUAAAUAAGCUCGCCUCUAACACUCAGAGCUAAAAAGUGCGUUUGUACACUAAACUGUAGCAGCGAUCAUGUCCUCAUCAGGUACCUCAUUUUUCUCACUCUUGUUCAUAUAAUGUUUAUAUUUUACUGUUUUUCCCCGCUUGUAAAUACUCGUUGUUAUUUCUUUUCAGACUCUGAGAUAAGCGAGCUCAAUUCCUCUCUUUUUGGUUCUCUCGAUCGAGUUGACUUGGACAGCUUUAUUUUUUUCGAGUUCGCCGAAUUCUUCUCCACCAGUGCUUGAGCGAUCCACAGGCAAGAAUAUUCGUCUUUCAACACAGGACAGACUGCAUCUGCUCUCUAUGCUAGAUCGCCCCGCUUCAUCCGGCCCCAGUUCCAUCCCCGUCGGAGCUUGUUCUCUCCAGCGACCCUCUGGGAAAAACUUGCGCCUGGCCGCCGGGGACAGGCAAAACUCGCUCUCCGAUCUCACUCCGGAUGCUCCGGCCAAUCGGAGCCCCAGAAACGCUUCUUCUUCUCCGCCAUCACACACACGAAAUGCACCGCGCCUGCCUUUGAGACCCAAUCACGGGCAUCUCAGAAGGAGGAAUAGCAGGACCGGUAGGAUCGCAAGGACAACGAGGACAACGAGGACAAGGCGAACACGCACACGAAGGCAGCUCGCUUCAAUUGCUCUUCGUGCGGUAUCUCUGUUCGCUGAAUUAGUUCAGCUCAUCUUAUAAAAAGUUUGUGUUUUUUUUUUUCAUUUUGUUUUUUCAAACAAACUGUCUUUUGUGGUUUUUUGUUCUUUUAAUAUAUUCCUGUUAAGCAAUAAUAAUAAAAAAUGGAUAACCAGGAACAAGAUAUUACAGACCCAUUUCUUGCUUUAGAAACAGCGUUAGCUAGGUUAAAUGAAAAUACACAGCUCAGGAGGGCGAAGCUGGAGCUGCCCGCACCAGGUACUUCUGCACCAAACAAUCCAUUUUCUAUAAAUUAUCAAAAAGUCUGCUCUUCUCAAGUAAAUCAAUCUCCAGUU